rnacentral:ncRNA from 1 species
GAGCGCCGUGUGCGCGGAAACGUGCAUGCACGGUGCGGUGGAGGGGAAAAGGCGGAGGGAGUCUACCCAAGGCCUUACCUAUUCCAAU